rnacentral:rRNA from 1 species
GUCCUAGUUACCAGCACGUUAUGGUGGGCACUCUAAGGAGACUGCCGGUGACAACCGGAGGAGGGUGGGGAUGACGUCAAGUCAUCAUGGCCCUUACGGCCUGGGCUACACACGUGCUACAAUGGUCGGUACAAAGGGUUGCCAAGCCGCGAGGUGGAGCUAAUCCCAUAAAACCGAUCGUAGUCCGGAUCGCAGUCUGCAACUCGACUGCGUGAAGUCGGAAUCGCUAGUAAUCGUGAAUCAGAAUGUCACGGUGAAUACGUUCCCGGGCCUU